UACGGAGGGUGCGAGCGUUAAUCGGAAUUACUGGGCGUAAAGCGCGCGUAGGCGGUUUGUUAAGUCAGCUGUGAAAGCCCCGGGCUCAACCUGGGAACUGCAGUUGAUACUGGCCGACUGGAGUGCGAGAGAGGGAGGUAGAAUUCCAUGUGUAGCGGUGAAAUGCGUAGAUAUAUGGAGGAAUACCGGUGGCGAAGGCGGCCUCCUGGCUCGACACUGACGCUGAGGCGCGAAAGCGUGGGGGAGCAAACAGGG
rnacentral:rRNA from 1 species